rnacentral:rRNA from 1 species
UACGUAGGGGGCAAGCGUUGUCCGGAAUCAUUGGGCGUAAAGAGCUCGUAGGCGGUUCGGUAAGUCAGGUGUGAAACCUCCAGGCUCAACCUGGAGACGCCACCUGAUACUGCUGUGACUCGAGUCCGGUAGGGGAGCGUGGAAUUCCUGGUGUAGCGGUGAAAUGCGCAGAUAUCAGGAGGAACACCAGCGGCGAAGGCGGCGCUCUGGGCCGGAACUGACGCUGAGGAGCGAAAGCGUGGGUAGCAAACAGG